GUAAGUCACAGUUCGGAUUGAAGGCUGAAAUUCGCCUUCAUGAAGCCGGAAUUGCUAGUAAUGGCAGGUCAGAAUACUGCCGUGAAUACGUUCCCGGGCCUUGUACACACCGCCCGUCACACCAUGAGAGUUGGGAAUACCCGAAGCCCGUGAGCUAACCGAAAGGGAGCAGCGGUCGAAGGUAGAAUCAAUGAUUGGGGUGAAGUCGUAACAAGGUAAC
rnacentral:rRNA from 1 species